rnacentral:rRNA from 1 species
UGGCGAACGGGUGAGUAACGCGUGAGGAACCUGCCUCAAAGAGGGGGACAACAGUUGGAAACGACUGCUAAUACCGCAUAAGCCCACGGGUCGGCAUCGACCUGAGGGAAAAGGAGCAAUCCGCUUUGAGAUGGCCUCGCGUCCGAUUAGCUAGUUGGUGAGGUAACGGCCCACCAAGGCGACGAUCGGUAGCCGGACUGAGAGGUUGAACGGCCACAUUGGGACUGAGACACGGUCCAG